rnacentral:rRNA from 1 species
UAUGUGAUCGUCUCUCGCAUAUCAAUAAGCGGAGGAAAAGAAACUAACAAGGAUUCCCCUAGUAACGGCGAGUGAAGCGGGAAGAGCUCAAAUUUGAAUCUUAAAGGGUUUCCCUUUACGAAUUGUAGUUUAAAGAAGUGUUUUCUGUUGAGGUUUUGGUAAAAGUUCUUUGGAAUAGGACAUCAUAGAGGGUGAGAAUCCCGUAUUUGACCUUUACUUUCAACUUUGUGAUACACUUUCAAAGAGUCGGAUUGUUUGGGAAUGCAGUCCAAAAUGGGUGGUAAAUUCCAUCUAAAGCUAAAUAUUGGCGAGAGACCGAUAGCGAACAAGUACCGUGAGGGAAAGAUGAAAAGAACUUUGAAAAGAGAGUUAAACAGUACGUGAAAUUGUCAAAAGGGAAGCGUUUGACACCAGUGUUGUUUUUCUGAAAAUCAAUUAAAGAACUGUUUAUGCUAAGUUGUUUAGACUUUAUCAGCUAACUGUUUAGUUUUGAGCUUUUCUUUAAUGCACUUUUCAGUUAACAAGUCAACAGUCAAUUUCUUUUGCUGUAAAAAAGCUUGAGGAAGGUGGCUUGAGAUUCGUCUUAAGUGUUUAUAGCCUCUUGCCUAUGCAGUCGGAGAGAUUGAGGUCUGCAGCGUAGAUCCUUCGGGGCUAAAUGCAUUUGUGCUAAGUUAUAGCAUUUUAUAGACAACUUGUUGACUAUGAUUUGUCUUGUAGCUUACUCGCUUAUGUUAUUUUACCUACGCUUAGGAUGUUGACUGAUAUGUAGUCGUA